rnacentral:rRNA from 1 species
CAGCAGCCGCGGUAAUCCGAAGGGGGCUAGCGUUGUUCGGAUUUACUGGGCGUAAAGGGCGCGUAGGCGGGCGAAUAAGUCAGGGGUGAAAUCCCAAGGCUCAACCUUGGAACUGCCUUUGAUACUGUUUGUCUUGAGUUCGAGAGAGGUAAGUGGAACUGCGAGUGUAGAGGUGAAAUUCGUAGAUAUUCGCAAGAACACCAGUGGCGAAGGCGGCUCACUGGCCCGGAACUGACGCUGAGGCACGACAGCGUGGGGAGCAAACAGGAUUAGAUACCCCAGUAGUCCCUGUCUCUUAUAC